UACGGGGGGAGCAAGCGUUGUUCGGAUUUACUGGGCGUAAAGGGCGCGUAGGCGGCCAGCACAAGUCAGUUGUGAAAUCUCCGAGCUUAACUCGGAAAGGUCAACUGAUACUGUGCGGCUAGAGUGCGGAAGGGGCAACUGGAAUUCCUGGUGUAGCGGUGAAAUGCGCAGAUAUCAGGAGGAACACCAAUGGCGAAGGCAGCUCGCUGGGACGGUACUGACGCUGAGACGCGAAAGCGUGGGGAGCAAACAGG
rnacentral:rRNA from 1 species